UACGGGGGGGGCAAGCGUUGUUCGGAAUUACUGGGCGUAAAGGGCUCGUAGGCGGCCAACUAAGUCGGACGUGAAAUCCCCAGGCUCAACCUGGGAACUGCGUCCGAUACUGGAUGGCUUGAAUCCGGGAGAGGGAUGCAGAAUUCCAGGUGUAGCGGUGAAAUGCGUAGAUAUCUGGAGGAACACCGGUGGCGAAGGCGGCAUCCUGGACCGGCAUUGACGCUGAGGCGCGAAAGCCAGGGGAACAAACGGG
rnacentral:rRNA from 1 species